rnacentral:miRNA from 1 species
UCACCAGAGAAAUUAUUCCACA